AUUGAACGCUGGCGGCAGGCCUAACACAUGCAAGUCGAGCGGAGCGGCGGACGGGUGAGUAAUGCCUGGGAAUCUGCCUGGUAGUGGGGGAUAACGUCCGGAAACGGGCGCUAAUACCGCAUACUAUCAGAUGAGCCUAGGUCGGAUUAGCUAGUUGGUGGGGUAAAGGCCUACCAAGGCGACGAUCCGUAACUGGUCUGAGAGGAUGAUCAGUCAAACUGGAACUGAGACACGGGCCAGACGGCUACGGGAGGCAGCAGUGGGGAAUAUUGGAAAAUGGGAGAAAGCGUGAUGCAGACAUGCCGCGUGUGUGAAGAAGGUCUUCGGAUUGUAAAGCACUUUAAGUUGGGAGGCGUUACCAACAGAAUAAGCACCGGCUAACUUCGUGCCAGCAGCCGCGGUAAUAC
rnacentral:rRNA from 1 species